UUCUACCACCUAUAUGAAGCAAUCACAUCCAGUGUCCAUUAGUUCUUACAAUUAUGCCCCAUUUAUUAAUAAAUAUAAUUGACAUGGACACUUACACAAAUCUAGAAAGUCUCCCACUUCCCAGAUUCCACUGCUCCUUUUUUAGUUGCUGGUGCUGACAAGACUGUUCAAAAUAACGUUACUCAAAGAAUAAAGAUAUUAAAAUACAGAGGUCAUAGAUUGGGGCAAAGCUGGAGGUCCAUGUAAUAAAAAAGAAUUCUGUAAAUUAGAAAUAACUAUGAUUAUUAUAAUUUGCUUGUAAAUAACUUGAAACAAUUAAACUAAAUUAUUUUUUAAAGAACAUCCCAGCUCUAAAGUUGUAAUGCUAAGGUUUUCCAAAAUACAUCAUCAUAAACAAACAAAUAUAUAUAUAGUGUCAAGAAAUGCUCUAAAAAUUAUAUAGAGUGAAACACUAUAAUCAAUACACUAUACGUCAAGCCAAUUUCAAUUUCUCUAGAUAAGUAAAAAGAAAGAAAGAAAAAUACAAACUAACAUAAAGGAGUAUUACUUUGGUUUAAAUAGCAAGUCAUUAUUUAAACCACUCUGAUUUCAACAUAAGUUACCAACUAAAAACAUAUGAAAGCCAUUCCUUCCUUAGAGAAGAACCAAUUUUCUCAAAUAUUUCAAAGUAUACUACAGUUAUUAGUGCAAAACAAUUUAAAAAAAAAAAGCUAGGGGUUUUUCCAUAUUUAAGUUACACAAACAUGAAUUCAAAAUCUUAAAUCAUGGGUGUUCCCUUUGUGGCUCAGUGAUAACGAACCCGACUUGUAUCUAUGAGGGCUCGGGUUCGAUCCCUGGCCUCGCUCAUGGGUUAAGGAUCCGGCAUUGCCAUGAGCUGUGGCGUGGGUCACAGACGUGGCUUGGACCUAGUGUUGCUGUGGCUAUGGUGUAGGCCAGCAGCUAUAGCUCCGAUUCAACCCCUAGCCUGGGAAUCUCCAUGCACUGCAGGUGCAACCCUAAAAAGACAAAAUACAUAAAUAAAAAGAUACGUAAAAAUCCAAGAAAGAAACUAAGAAAGGGAAAUAACCAGCUAAACUAAUUUUCACAAGGCCACAUUUAGCCUCUGCUGUGAACUGAUUACUUAGGUGCUGCGGCUCUAUAUUCUCCCCUGUACCAUCCACCUCUUAAUAUCCCGGAAAUCCUGAUCCUAGGAAUGUAACCGUUUCAGCCAGACUGCCAAAGGCAAUUCAGAGUUUUCAGUUUAUCAUUCACGGCUAAAGCUGAACUCACUGCUCAGAAUCUUGAAACUACACACUGGGCAGAGAACACUGUGCCCACUUUAAUUGAGGGUAAAAAUGAUCCAGGUAAUUGCUAACCACGGGGAUUGCUUAGCUCCUGGCAAACGCUUGGUGUUACAAACUGUUAGACUCAUCAAAUAAUAAUAAUUGUUAUUACAUAAUUAUUAUUUAUAUAAUUAUUAUAAUGAUGAAUAUAAUUACUUAUAUAAUUUUAUAAUAUAUACUUUGAUGAUUUUAUAUAGAUAUAUUAUUAUAAUUAUGAAAUUUAUUGUUGUUAUUAUUAUUAUCACCACCACCAUCACCACCAAGUUCAAACACACUAAGACCUCAGGCACAGAUUUUUCACUUAGAGCCAUGAGAGCGAAAUUUCAGUCCGGGCCCCCGGUUCUACUGCAUUCAAGCUCUAUAACCUAGUGCAAGCCCCUUUACCUUUAUCUACAGAAGACAGAUGAUUUCUAAAGCUCCUUUAAGCCUCCAUCACUCUUUAGGCCUCGUGCCCUGGAGAUCUGUAUACUGAAUAAUGAAUGGCCAUAUCAAACCUCACACAUGGUUUUUGCCAUAAGGC
rnacentral:lncRNA from 1 species